CGAAUGAAUGCAGCUGUCACAUUUUUUUUCGUUCUCGAAUCUGUCAAGUGGUAAAUUGAGUUAAUCAAAUCGAACAUUAAACAAUGGACGAUGAAGAUGGUAAAUCGUAUCGUUGGGAAACCGAAUAUGAAAAAACCUGGGAGAUCAUCAAAGAAGAUGAUCAAGGUCGAAUUCAAGGUUCGGUGGAUGAAAUGCUUUACAAAGCGAUUCGUAAACGUACAUUGAACAAGAAAAACAUUCGUCUUGGCCUGAUGCGACAUUUGGCCAUCAUUAUUGACAUGUCGUCCGCUAUGAAUCAAAUCGAUUUGAAACCUAAUCGUCUUAUUUGUUGUGUUCGAUUGUUGGAAAAAUUCGUUCAAGAUUUUGUUGAUCAGAAUCCAAUCAGUCAGUUAUGUUUUAUUAGCACCAAAAAUAAACGUGCCGAAAAGAUAUCCGAAUUAGGCGGAAAUAUUAAAACACAUCUUGAAGCAUUAAAUUCAUUGAAAAUGAAUGCCAGCUGCAACGGAGAAACAUCGAUGCAGAAUGCAUUACAAAUAGCACAUGCUAUGCUACGAUAUAUGCCACCACAUACAAGUAAAGAGAUUCUUUUCAUAAUGGGUAGUCUUACCAGUUGCGAUCCUUCUGAUAUUCAUAAAACAAUCGAUUUGCUUGCUAAAGAUCGUAUUCGAUGUUCGGUUAUUGGUUUGGCUGCCGAAGUUUAUGUCUGUACAAAUUUGACACAAAAAACAAACGGUGUUUACAAUGUAGCAACGGAUGAAACUCAUCUCAAAGAUUUGCUCUUCCAAUAUCUGAAUCCAUUACCAUCUACGUAUACAGAAUCAACACUGAUGAAGAUUGGUUUUCCCAAAUACGAAAUGAACACUGUGCCAUCAAUCUGUGUUUGUCAUCUAGACGAUGGUGAUGAACCUAAACUAACAGUAUCUGGCUACUUUUGUCGCCAAUGCAACUCCAAGUAUUGUGAUCUUCCUGUCGAAUGUAAAAUUUGUGGACUAACCUUAUUAUCAUCAUCACAUCUGGCACGAAGCUAUCACCACCUGUUUCCUGUUGAGCCAUUCAGCGAAACCAUUGCCUCCGAUUCUCAAGGCAGCCGAUGUUUUGGCUGCCUAAAACGAUUGAAUGGCAAAUCAGCAACCUUGUGUAAUUUAUGUCAGCAGAUAUUCUGUGUAGAAUGUGAUGUUAUCAUACACGAUAUAUCACAUGUUUGUCCUGGUUGUACAUCUGUUCGACGAAUACCUUGAACAUCAUUAUUGUUGCAAUGAAUAUAAUGGAUUUAUUAAUCAAAUAAAUAACGUUCCAACAAAGAUUAUUGGCAAUUUCCGUUAAUUGUUGUUCAUGACAUGAUGAUGGUGAUGAUGAUGAUCGCAUUAUAUAAUCAGUUAAAGCAAC